rnacentral:rRNA from 1 species
AGCGAACGCUGGCGGCAGGCCUAACACAUGCAAGUCGAACGCCUGUAGCAAUACAGGAGUGGCAGACGGGUGAGUAACACGUGGGAACGUGCCCUUCGGUUCGGAAUAACUCAGGGAAACUUGGGCUAAUACCGGAUACGUCCGCGAGGAGAAAGAUUCAUCGCCGAAGGAUCGGCCCGCGUCCGAUUAGCUAGUUGGUGGGGUAAUGGCUCACCAAGGCGACGAUCGGUAGCUGGUCUGAGAGGAUGAUCAGCCACACUGGGACUGAGACACGGCCCAGACUCCUACGGGAGGCAGCAGUGGGGAAUAUUGGACAAUGGGCGCAAGCCUGAUCCAGCCAUGCCGCGUGGGUGAUGAAGGCCCUAGGGUUGUAAAGCCCUUUCGGCGGGGAAGAUAAUGACGGUACCCGCAGAAGAAGCCCCGGCUAACUUCGUGCCAGCCGCCGCGGUAACAC